AAAUGCUGACCCCUAUGACAGCCGCCAAUCAAAUGGCAGUGAACAGCCAGCCAUCAUAACGGAUGUGAUAUGGUGUGUCAGAGCAAAGGGCACUUAAAUAUUUCUUUGCCAAGUCUUCUUUAUUUUUUUUCCCCAGCCAACACGGUGACAGAGGAUCCGUCUUAAUCUCCGGGGGAUCCGGUACUAAAUCGGGAUUGGGUUGUCAAAACAUUUUUGCACUCUAUGUCAAGAUUCUGGCUUAAUGCCUGGGUAAUGUUUGGACAAACAAGUCACACGCGGCAAGCCCACGCCAGCCUGUCAGAUAAAUGCUCGCUUUAUCCCACCACAUACUUUCAUUUAGGGCCGGCAGACAGGCCAAGGUGCCCCGUGAGAGAUCGGCACCCCGGAAGGCGAGCAAUGCUGAUGCAAGGGGGCGGAGCUAGUGGUACUCACCUUCCACAUGGCUGCAAAGAGGACGUCUACUCCGCACCGAUGUCCCGUUUACUACAGUUUCCAUUACAAACUAUUUACCUCAUCUGGAACUGCCCAGCCACUCUCUGGACUGAAACUCGGGGUUUAGAGCAAGGUUGAAGUCUUUGAAUAAGUGAUUAAGUGAGAAUGUCUGCUCUCCUCACAGUCCCAGCUGCCGGAAAAAGGCUCUCAUUCUCUGUAAUGUGUUUAUCUUGUGAUUAAUUAACAGCUCCGACACCCAUGUAAUUGGAUGCGCAGGAUUCGGAUAAAUUCUUUGAUAGUCUCAUUUUGAAUUAUGUUUUAUCGCAUCAGUAGAAACCAAAGGUGCCUACUGAGAUAUUAUCCGGUAAUUAUUUUGCAAAAUGGUGAGAAAGUGUUUUAAGACUGGAAAUGAUUGCUCUUUGCAGUGGUAUGAAAGUGUUCCUGGAACGUGUUUUAUGAUCAUUGCAGGGAUGUCACCACUUGUACUGUUUGCGCCUUUGUAACAGGCAAUGAACCGGACAGCCCUGUUAGCUUCAGUGCAUGGAGCCCGUUUUCAUUGCCAGGCCAAUAACAAGGCGAAAUACAUUAGAAACACAGCAGAGGAAAUGAAUAGAUGCUGCAUGUGUUAUCGUUGUGCUUCUCUGAUAUAUCAUCAUUCUGUGGUGAGAUUUUCCCGAGAUUCUCCCUAUACGUGUUUAUUUCAAUGUGUGAUAUUUAUCUGUGAUGUUAGGUUAGUGCACGUCCGUGUUUGCAAGUCUGGGCUUGCAUGUGCUGUGUGUGCGCGCGAGCGCAUGUGUGACGGGGGCUUGGCAGCGCACCCGCGUGUGACCACUUUUUAUAUGUGCGUGUUUGUGUAAGCAAGAUGCAAUCUUGUGAGUAUUCAUCAUUGUUUUUUAGCUGGAAUGUUACAGGGCAGGAGUGGGCGGGCUCUGAUUCGACAUCCUUGUGGAGGAAAUGUGAAACGCAAAAUAAAACAGAGAAUUAUUACACCAUCACACCCCCCCCCCCCACAAAGCCGAGUGUUCUCCUGGCACGGGGCAUUGCAUUCUGGGAAAGGUGCCUCAGCCGGGAAGAUGGAGGUGGGCGUCUGGUCUGUUACAGAAGGUGGGGGCGGGGUGGCAUGAGGGAGAUGUCUGUUUGGCAGCGUAAAGUUGUUAAUUGGAGAGCUACCAAAGUGGGGAUUUUUUUUUCCAUACGAAGCCGAUUCAGUUGAGAAACCCAGUGAUGCCGCUCCGCGGAGGGAGGAGGUGGAGGAGGAGGAUGGUGCGAGUGGAGGAGAGCAGCAGAGAGGAGAACAAAGACAGGGGAUUGUGAGAAUGAGGAAAUCAUUAGGAGCCCCGGCUGCCUCCAACAUUUAGCGACUGGUAAUUGCAGAUGCACGGCCCAGCGCUGAUUUCUGGACCUGCACCUUUCUGCAGCACAGGCUGCUUCCCGUGUUUCCCUAGUGCUGAACUCCAAACUGCUUCCCCCCUCCUGCCGUCCCCCGACCCAGACUGACAGACCGCAGCAGCGGAGAUCAGAUCGUAAAGCGACACGUGAAUCGAUGGGACUCACCGACGUCGAAGUCGACCCGAUGCUGGCUUCUGAGCGCGAACCUUAAAUCGAUGAGGAGCGGCUUUUAUCGACUGCGUGACGUGCGGCGCCCGGGGGGAUAAGCAGCUUCACUCAAAUAUUCCUGCCUCAGUGUGCCAGCCCCCGAGGAUUCCCACCAUGCCCCUUCCCCGGAUCCAGUGCACGUGCCCGUGGAGAACCUGCCGUAGAUGCAGUGGCUUUGUGGGUUACGCGCCAUGUAGCCGGCCGUCUCUGGGGAAGAGACACUCUUCUCCAAACCUAUUUUUAAAAACCCAAACAAAAAUAAACCCCACAAAACUC